GAUUAAGCCAUGCAUGUGUAAGUAUAAAUAGUUAACUUUGAAACUGCGAAUGGCUCAUUAUAUCAGUUAUAGUUUAUUUGAUGAAGAAUACUAAUUGGAUAACCGUAGUAAUUCUAGAGCUAAUACAUGUAUAAAGUCUUGUAGACUGCAUUUAUUAGAAUGAAAACCAUAGGUUUCGGCCUAUUCGUGAGUAAUAAUAACUAAUCAUAUCGUAUGCUUAAGUAACGAUGUGUCUUUCAAGUUCUGCCCUAUCAGCUUUCGAUGGUAGUGUAUUGGACUACCAUG
rnacentral:rRNA from 1 species